rnacentral:misc_RNA from 1 species
GAUGAAGAACGUAGCGAAAUGCGAUAAGUAAUGUGAAUUGCAGAACUCAGUGAAUCAUCGAAUCUUUGAACGCACAUUGCGCCCGCCAGCAUUCUGGCGGGCAUGCCUGUUCGAGCGUCAUUUCAACCCUCGCAGCCCAUCUGGGCAGCGGUGUUGGGGACCGGCACCACCGGCGAAGCCCUUAGGGGCCCAGCCGGCGCCGCCCCCGAAAUACAGUGGCGGUCUCGCUGCAGCCUCCCUUGCGUAGUAGCACACCUCGCACCGGAGCGCAGCGCGGCCACGCCGUAAAACCCCCGACUUUCUGAGUUUGACCUCGAAUCAGGUAGGAAUACCCGCUGAACUUAAGCAUAUCAAUAAGCGGAGGA